rnacentral:lncRNA from 1 species
CUCUCUCUCUCUCUGAACUGGAGCGUUCACGAUCCCAUCUUCCAAACUGCGCUAAAUUUGCGGUGACGAUCACAUACUACCGGUGCCACGUUCACUGCUAAUUUAUAGUGUGGGAUCCACUUGUCAGUUCUCUUUCCGGCGCCGAUUAGUGCUCGCUCUCCUCGGACUCGCCGCCACCGCCGGCCUCCGGCGCCGCCGUGGGUGUUUUAGAGUGAGAGAGAUGGAGAAUUGGAAGUCACCCCGCGAUGGGUACCACCCGCUUUCUUCUUCCCAGAGAGAUGUCUCAUACAGGUUCUCUCUCUCGAAAAUAAUUUUUAUGGGUUUGAUUUGUAUUUUUGGGAAAUAUGUAAUAUGUGUUUGUAUAUUAAUUUUUGGUGAGAUUCGAGAGAAGAUCUUAAUUUUUGAUAUGUGAUAAUUUAUUUAGCAAACAACUAUUGGGGUUUUUCAAUUUAGUAGAGAGAUGUUGCUUACAGAAUGUGGCAAUUAUUUUUUUUUAUACGAGGCUGUUUGAUCGAUGAUUUUUACUUGAUUUGUCACCAAAUGCCUAAUGUUUUUUUUUCUCUUCACAAAGCCUGUUGGAAAUAGGGUGAAGUCUUAGAGUUUGAGAGUUGACUUAGAACCUUAAUCAAGCAAAUUGUGACUUGGAGUAUCUUAAAUUUGAUAUCUUUGUAUGAUUAUUUUUCUUGAGUAAUAAAUUUUGUGCAGUCAACAUACUAGUUAUAAACUCUAUUGCUUGUACUACUUUGAAUUUGGAAUUUCGUUUGGUGUGACUGAGACAUACUUGUUUUUUUUAUCAAUUGACACAAUACUUGUAUUUGAACUAGCGGGAAUGCCCCGAGUGUGCCAAUAGUAUUGUUUCUUGUAAACCUUGAAGACGUUACAGAUAUUAUAUUGACGUUCUUUUGAAAGUCAAAAUUUGUGGAGGGGCUUUUUUUGUAUGAAAAAGUAUGAGAAGGCUUCAAAUUUGAGUAUACACCAAGUGAGUUUUAAUAAUAAAAUAGGACAGGAUAUGUCGAACUUCAAUUGUUUUUUAUGAACAAAUGAAUUUUGCCAGUCAAUUACUUCAACAUCCACUAAUUUGUACUCUCUGGCUGUGUUUGGAUAAAGGAUUUUUUGGAUAGAUUUACCAAUGGAAAGGAAAACGAUUGGGGAUCAAAUCAAUAAAUUAAGCUUCCUCACAAUGUUAUCUUCCCCUAUUCCCUUUUAGAUUUUCUUUUCCCUUAAUACAUUCCUCCAUAAAUCCUUGAUCCGAACGCACCCUUUGUGUGUGCGCGUGCGUGUGUGUUUCUCAUAGUAGUUGUAGUUAUUUGAGACUAUCGGUCACUUGCUUUCCAUAUCUGAUCUAAACAAUGAGUCCACACUCCACAGUGCUUUCUACGGCAUCUAUCUUAGGACCAUCUGAUUGCCUUAUUGUUUUUUCUCCAUUAUGUUUGCAGAAUCUUGUUUACUUUUUCAGCCUUGCUUUUGUCUUACUUUUUGGAAAUUCGAAUGCACCUAAAUUUUCUAUCCUGUAAGGGUUCCAAUCCUUUUUUUUUUUUUUUGCUAUUGCAUACAAUAGAAUUUCACAUAAAUUAAAAAGCAAAUCGCAUACCGAAUUCGAAAUUUCAAGGAUUGGUACAAGCUGACUAAAUUUAUGUUUUAAUGGGGCUUGAUCUUCCUGUUUUCCUUUGUCUCCCCACACAAUUUUGUCCUUUUAAAUUUUAAAACUCAUAUAAAAGAAGUGCAGUUUUGAAUGUAAAAAAUAAUUGAUUUCGAUUAUCGUUUGGUUAUCUAUUCAACAUUUGUAGGCUGGAACUUGUUUGUUGAACUGCUAUACUUUGGUAAUGUGGAACAAUCUUAUUUCAGUGAAUGUCAGUUACUGUUCUAGAUUGCUCAUAAAACUUUAUUGCUUUUAUUUCGUUCAUUGUUUUUUGCACCUAUUCUUGAAUUUUUGUUAUACUUGUUAUCUGAGGUUUACUACCUAGUUGUUUCCUAAUCAAGUGCAUAUAACCAAAGCAAACCAAUUUAACCUUAUGUCCUAAUAAUCUUUUUUGCUAUGCCACUUUGUCACCCAGUUAAACUUACCAAAUUCACAUCAUAUUUUACUAUGAGAUUCCAAGUCAAUUUUUCCCCCCUCCUGUUAGCAUAUUAACAAUAAUCCUAUCACUAUUUCUUACGGAUGCAUUUACCAGUCUCCGUUGUACAUGACCAAAGCAUUUUAGUUUAUUGUCUUUGAACUUGACACCCUGUUGUUUGGUGCUACUCCUUCCAUUUUGCGAUUGGUUCUAUAUUACUAAUUAAAUCUUUUCUGUUCUUGCCACACAUCUAUGUAAACUUCCCCAUCUCAGCCACAUUAAUUUUAUUAAAUUUUAGUUGCAAAACAUUCUGUUCCACCAAACAUUGUUGGCCUUAUAGGUUAGAAAAGUACACCCCAUUUAGUUUCCAGUAACGGGGUUUUAGAAGAAGGAUCUAAUACAAAUCUAACCUUUCGCAUUACUUGUCAAAGUGUCGACCUUCAGAU